rnacentral:piRNA from 1 species
UCUCAUGGGCCUCCUCGAGAAUUAACUAGA